rnacentral:lncRNA from 1 species
GGUGUAACGCCGCCUGUCAACCACCACAGACCCACCAUCCGCCGCCGGCUCGAAAUCGUCUCCGCCGGCGGCAAAGCUUAGAUCCUGACCAAAAAUACACCCCUAACUCCCCACAUCCUCCUCUUUCUGAUGCCCUAGAAAUCAAACCUCGAAUAUGACCCCAUCAUCUCUAAUAUUAGAUUCUGUGCAUGCCGCCUCCGCCGUCCACGACGGUGCCAUCGCCGGAAACCUCCCAAAAUAACACCCCAUACUCCUCACCCCACCCCAUAACAAAUUCGUGGUUGUCUUCGUCCAAACCCCUACCCAUCGCUUCGAAUCUUGAAUCGAAACUCUGACCCAAACCCCAACCUUACCGGAAUCCCUCAAAAAAAUCUCAGGCGAUCUCCUCACCUUUCUUUCCAAAAACCCACGACCAUCAGCCUUCGAAUGCAACUAGGUUUGGCCAAAAAUCAAAUCGAAGAUGAUCUAAAACCCAGACCCCAUCCCAAGAUAACCAACCCUAACCUGAUACCCUCUCCAAUAAUGAUGCAAAGGUCUCAAGAGACCAAAGACCCUCUCAGAAAGGGUCAAGAAACUUUGAGACGUGAAGAGCCCCAAAUUUUAGGGUUGCAGUUUUAAGAAAGCUAAGUUUCCUUUGUUCUUCUUUUCUGAUUGUUGAUUGCAGUUAAUUCUCUACAUUCUGAGUGUUUUAAUUGUUUUAAUUUCCUUUGUUAUUCUUGAUAAUUGCUUUUAGGUCUCUUUUGUUUUUAAUUUCCUUUGUUCGUCCUUAUAAUUAUUUUAAUUUAGUUUGUUCUUCCUGAUAAUUGCUUUUAGGUCUCUUUGUUUUCAAUUUCCUUUGUCCGUCCUUAUAAUCGUCUUAAUUUCCUUCUAAUUGCUCUUCUAAUUGUUUUUAAAUUCCCUUUAUUCUUCCUUUCUGUUGUUUUUGAGCUUAUUUGUUCUUGUUUGUGUAAAUGCAUGAAUGUCCAUUUGCUCAUCUGUUAAAAUUUUCUGAUUCAGUGAUCUUAUUUCCACCACAUGUUUUUUCUUUUAUGUCUUGAUAACCUGCUUCUGAAUGGUCCUCUCAUCAUGUGAAGUCACAGUUGUUACUGUUGACUCAUUUGGAUCAUGCUAGUUAGGAAUUAUUCAUCUCUGGUUUUCCAUUUCUUUUGUUCAGUAUCCAUGUGUGAUAAAUCUUGUUUGUGCUGAUUAGUUUCAUUUUUGUUUAUGAGUAAUUUGGUUCCACAUUGUGAUAUUUGUUUAAAUUCGGCUGAAUAUAUGAGUUGCAUUGAUUUGUCAGUUAUCAAUUUUGGACCCUUGGUCGUUUGCUUUUGCAUACUAUAGUAUAAUCUUCAACUAAACAGUUGACCAUGGCCAGCUUUCUCAAAUUUGAUCCCAGAUGAUAAAAUAAACUUGGUUUAUGACCUUAGGUAGUUAACUAGGGUCAAUUGUUGACCAAAUGGAUAGACACCAGGGUAUAACACAUCUGGGCUAGUAAUUAAGAAGGGAAAACAGGGUUAUUGAGGGUAUUUGAACAUAAGAAUAUAGCAACAAACUCCUGGAACAUUCUAAUGAAGGGUCAAAAUACAAUUUCUGUUAAUUCUUCCUCAAAACUUGAGGCACAAGUUAGAAAAUCAAAGAUCAAUUCGGCAAAUCUGAAAAAUGGGUAAGGGACUAAAAGGAAAAUAAAUUUUUUUUGUUGCCCUAAGGCUUUUGUUAUAAAAGAGACGUCUCAUUGUUUAAAAAAGGGGUACAUAGUUAGAUACACUUUAGACAUACAUUCAGAUACAUUUUUUGAGAUAUACAUUUUGAAGAUCAAUUUCCUGUAAUCCUAAGCUUUUCCUGGCAAAUUUUCUAUAAUAAUCUAAUUCUAUUCCUUAAAUAUUGAAGAUGAUAUGAAGCAUACGCAUUAAGGAUCAAAACUUGUGUGUGUUGGCUUUUCAAAUCUUUUCCUGAAUUCUUGAUACCUUUCCUGGGUGUAGCUGUUUAAUUUGUUAUUGCUUGCUUGCUUCUUGUUUGCCUUACUCAUAGGAUUCCUCUUUAGCUGUAAUUCUAGGUAUUGCUCUCAUCCAGGAAUUUUUUGGAAAUACACAGCUGUACAUAUCCGUGAC